rnacentral:rRNA from 1 species
GGACUACUGGGGUAUCUAAUCCUGUUCGCUCCCCACGCUUUCGCUCCUCAGUGUCAGGUAAGGCCCAGAGAACCGCCUUCGCCACCGGUGUUCCUCCCGAUAUCUGCGCAUUUCACCGCUACACCGGGAAUUCCAUUCUCCCCUACCUACCUCUAGUCUGCCCGUAUCCACUGCAGGCCCAGGGUUAAGCCCUAGGUUUUCACAGCAGACGUAGCAAACCACCUACGAGCUCUUUACGCCCAAUAAUUCCGGACAACGCUUGCGCCCUACGUAUUACCGCGGCGGCUGGCAC